AUAAGUAACAUAUGAUUUUUGUUUGUAGCUAGUCUAAAUACCUGUUUUACUUCUCCUCCUCAGUGUUGUUGCCAUGAGUUAUACACCAUUCCUCCUCGUGGGACUCUUAUUGCAUCGAAUCAUCCUCUAUCCUUUUUUUAGUCCAUUCAUUGAAUGACGGAAAACAUUUUAUCAUCAUUCUAUGAGAUCUAGAAUCUCCAAGGUAAAGUUUUCUCGGCGAACUUUGAAUAUGUCGAGUAUGGAGGUGGUCGAGCUCUGGAUCUCUACUGUGUUUGAUAGUAUACAUAGUUAUAAUGAAUUUGUAAAGAAGGGAUUGGAUCACAUAAUAAAAAGAAGAACUUAUUUUUCAAAAUGGAUUCUGUUCUACACCAUCCUAUCCUAACUUGUUAGUUUUUUUUUCCCUCCAUAACCGGGAGCUAUUCUUUUAUGCGUGGUAGUUCUUUCUUUCCUUAGCUGAACGGCCUUAAAUGAAUGGGUUCAUUUGGAUAAAAUACUUACAUGCGAGUGCUUACAUAGAUCGUACUUCCUUGCAACUUAAUUAGUCCCCGAAUGAGUGCAAAGAGGGUUGAUGUCUGGAAGCAAAGAAAUGCAGAAGAUAUAUAUAUGUAUAGUGAUGAGUCUUACUACUAUUCCUACGUAAUUGACAGGAAGUGGAUACGAACCAAGUUAAAUACAUUUUAUGUAUCAUGGUAAUAAUAAAAAUACUUUGGAUAAGUAUAUCCUAGGAUAUAUUGCAUUUAUCUAGCCCUAGAUAGAUAUUUCCACCGGCAAUGACUCAAUCUUCAUAGACCUCUCUACAUAGUUUGUAUAUAAUAUGUACAUCACUCAAAUUCCUCUCAAAUUAUAGUUUUCAAAAGCAAUGGUGUUCAUACUUAUUGAUGACUUACUUCAAAACUAUAUAUGUAGAAGGUACAUAUGUAUAAUUCCACAAAAAUCUUUUCUACUGGGGACAAUAAAAAUAAUUCUUUUGUUAUUUUUGGUGGGUUACACGUCAUUUAUUAUUUAUACUUUAAAAUUUGCGAUUUCUCUAUUUUAUCAAAGAUGAAUAGAAGUCUUAUUGGAUAAUUAAACUCUUUUGUUGAAGUGAUUGGUGAAACUGCAAGUCAUUGAUCAAAACGCAUAAUUUUUUUUAUCGAUACAACAAAUACUAAAAAAGUAUAUGAAAGUAAAACUUUUUACUCAUGGCAUCAUAUUUAGAAAUGUAUAAGGCUCAAAAAUAAUGAUCAAUUUCUACCUUAAAAAAACCAGUUUCCCUCAAGUCAAUAUGGCCGUCAAAGUAAGGACCCAAAACUUGCAGUAUCAUUACAUUACAAUUUCAUCCCAGUUAUUUUUAAGAAAAAAAUAUCAACCUGAAAACGGGACAGUCCAUUCUUCUAUACCUACAUACAGAAACAACACUUAAUCCCCUGCCCAUCCAUCUACAGACCAAUUUCCCAUAGAGUAGCAUCAUCCCCUUUAUAAUUAAGAGUUAUGUAUUUAGCUGUAAAUCUCAUGACUGACCAUGAUGUGUAUACAUUAGUUUCCGUGCUUCCUCUAGUUUUGAUAUAAAUAAGUGUUUCUUAGAAGUAAGUUAUCGAGGAACAGUUGCAGCUUGGAUAUGGAUCUAUGCAUGUACUUCCUAAAAUCCUCUUUCUCAUGUUAUGAGUUGUUGACCUAUCAUUGUAAUCUCUGAUUUAAUGCUACCUUGGUGAAUUAUAUAGCCACUCAUAUAAGUAUAUUUUGAAAGUAAUCUAGAAGUACUGUCACUCAUCCAAAUUUUUAAGCAAAUAAUUUAUAAAAUAAUUCAUUACUCAUUCGACAUAUUGAAUGGAAAGGAAGUCGUUUUUAUGGUGUUUUUUUUUGUAGGGAAGAAACGUAAUAGAUCUUGUCAUUUUAUAAACUAUUUUAGUUUCUUUAUUUCAUUAUGAGCGAUAAAUAAGAUAAUGAAAAACGACAUAGUAAUGUGGAAGUGUAAUUAAUUAUCAUGAAGGUUUUGAUCAAAGCCUUAAAGAAUUUGAAGGGAUCUGCAUCCUUUGUGGGUUUCAUGGUUACUAUUC
rnacentral:lncRNA from 1 species